rfam:Clostridium sp. ASF356 genomic scaffold acMac-supercont1.1, whole genome shotgun sequence.
UAUUUUCUUCAAAAAUGGUAAUAUCCUACCGGCGGUAAUAGCCCGCAAGCAUUUCAUGCAGAAUUCGGUUUUAUUCCGAAGCCGACAGUAAAGUCUGGACGGGAGAAGAAAAAU